UACGUAGGGUGCGAGCGUUGUCCGGAAUUAUUGGGCGUAAAGAGCUUGUAGGUGGUUUGUCGCGUCUGCCGUGAAAGUCCGGGGCUCAACUCCGGAUCUGCGGUGGGUACGGGCAGACUAGAGUGAUGUAGGGGAGACUGGAAUUCCUGGUGUAGCGGUGAAAUGCGCAGAUAUCAGGAAGAACACCCGUGGCUAAGGCGGCUCUCUAGUACGGUACUGACGCUGAGACGCGAAAGCGUGGGGAGCGAACAGG
rnacentral:rRNA from 1 species